rnacentral:rRNA from 1 species
UACGGAGGGGACUAGCGUUGUUCGGAAUUACUGGGCGUAAAGCGCACGUAGGCGGAUUUGUAAGUCAGGGGUGAAAUCCCGGGGCUCAACCUCGGAACUGCCUUUGAUACUGCAAAUCUCGAGUCCGGAAGAGGUGAGUGGGAAAUUCCUAGUGUAGAGGUGAAAUUCGUAGAUAUUAGGAAGAACACCAGUGGCGAAGGCGGCUCACUGGUCCGGUACUGACGCUGAGGUGCGAGAGCGUGGGGAGCAAACAGG